CCCCGGUUUCCGGGCGAGUUGAGGUUAGUUCAAGCACUCUUCCUUCGCCUGCCAGCAUUUGCGACGAUGGCUUCGAUGAUUUGGAUGCUCAGGUGAUCUGUCGGAUGCUUGGCUACGCUGGAAAGGAUGCCGUAGCCCUGAGAGACUCCCAUUUCGGACCACCCACUGGAGAAGUCUGGAACAUCAUCCUGGAUUGCGUCGGCAGCGAAGCCACCAUCCAGGAUUGUAGGAUUAGAUUUGCGAACAAGACCUGCACGCAACCGCACACGGCCUCCGUUGUCUGCGUCAGAGGAACCUCCGUCAACGACCUACUAUCCAGAGUCCUUCCGUCCGACUGUGGGAAACCUCUACAUGCCUCAGAGCAGUUCUUGACGGGU